rnacentral:lncRNA from 1 species
GACCAAAGACACUUAAACCUGACCCCAGUGGCUGCCGGCUUCUGCGGGCGUGGGUGUUUAAAGCCCAGGGAGGCAGCACGGCUCUGUUUUGCAGCGUUGGGAGUGGACACCGGGCAUCUGGGCAUUAGCUUGAGGAGUGCUGUGGGAAAUGGAAUAGGAAGAAACAGAGGCCCAGAGACUGAAAGGGAGAUGCUCCUGUGCACAGCUGUUGACUCAAUCCCAGAGUCUGGACCUGGGAGUUCGGUGACAAGUUAUGCCUGACGCCAGAAGAUUUACAGCAAAGGAGGAAGCAUUGCAGACAAGUAAGUGAUGGCUUACACAUCCCAUCUCCGACCUUCUGGAAGUUUUGUCCUCUUCUGGCCUUUGAGAUGGAAAGCUAGAGAUGGUUCCCCAAGAUCGAACUCAGGUCAGCAAGCUUGAUGGAAAGUGCAUUUACCCUCUGAGUCAUCUGACAGGCACUAUUAAAUUUUGUAAAAAGGGCAAGAAUUUCAUUAAACUGCAG